rnacentral:rRNA from 1 species
GGGGAAUAUUGGACAAUGGGCGAAAGCCUGAUCCAGCCAUGCCGCGUGUGUGAAGAAGGUCUUCGGAUUGUAAAGCACUUUAAGUUGGGAGGAAGGGUUGUAGAUUAAUACUCUGCAAUUUUGACGUUACCGACAGAAUAAGCACCGGCUAACUCUGUGCCAGCAGCCGCGGUAAUACAGAGGGUGCAAGCGUUAAUCGGAAUUACUGGGCGUAAAGCGCGCGUAGGUGGUUUGUUAAGUUGGAUGUGAAAGCCCCGGGCUCAACCUGGGAACUGCAUUCAAAACUGACAAGCUAGAGUAUGGUAGAGGGUGGUGGAAUUUCCUGUGUAGCGGUGAAAUGCGUAGAUAUAGGAAGGAACACCAGUGGCGAAGGCGACCACCUGGACUGAUACUGACACUGAGGUGCGAAAGCGUGGGGAGCAAAC